rnacentral:rRNA from 1 species
AGGCAGCAGUGGGGGAUAUUGCACAAUGGGGGAAACCCUGAUGCAGCGACGCCGCGUGGGUGAAGAAGUAUUUCGGUAUGUAAAGCCCUAUCAGCAGGGAAGAAAGAAGACGGUACCUGACUAAGAAGCCCCGGCUAACUACGUGCC